GCCUGUGUGAGAAUGUAAGAACAGAUAGAACAGCCACUAUCAGGCCGGAGAAAAUCUAAUCGCGUCAGGGACAAGAAAUCAGGGGUAAAACCCCGGGUGCUGAUUCACGAGUGAAGAUUGCCCUGAUGGACACCCUCGGCUUAUCUCUGCGAGACCUAAACCCCUUCGAGCUCAGAUAAUGGACCAGCUGGAGCCAGAGACUUGUUGCCAUCGACCCUUGCUGACCCUCCUGACCUUGACCUCUAUUCAGUCACCUUGAGAUGACUUUUGCCCCACUUGCACGUUGAGUCCCCGCCGCUCACCCCCCUCCAUGAAUGCGUCCACACCCCGAGCCCGGAACUUCCCCGGUUUCGUUGCCGGAGGAGACGCUGCUUGGGGAAAGACGCCUGGUGUUUUCCUCUGCUUGUGGCAAGUGCGGCCUUCCUUCUGUGCUUUGGCUUCGCCGCGUCUCUGGCUUGACGCUCAGCAAGAACCAAGUGCAGUCUGCUUAUGUUGACCAGAAGCUUCUCCAUCCGAUUGAAUUAAAUGUCUGAGACCGUCAUGUGGUCGAGCUUUCAGUUAAUACACAGCAAAGAACUGCAGCUGCAUAUUGACGCUGUAUAAUGAAAGGCUGAUGGAAACACAUUCUGGUGAACUGCAGGAAAUCAAAGACAUGAAGCAAAAAGACAUUAAAGCGUUUUUGUAUCAGAGAUAGUAGAAAAUGAUUAAUUACUUUUUAAGGUCAGGAUUUUUAAAUAAAGCUUUCUGGACAAUUCA